rnacentral:lncRNA from 7 species
UUCUGUGUUGUAUAGGCACUGCGUCACCUGGGUUCUGUGUCACCUGGGUUCUGUGUCAUAUAGGCACCGUGUCACCUGGGUUCCGUGUCACCUGGGUUCUGUGUCAUCUGGGUUCCGUGUCACCUGGGUUCCGUGUCGUAUAGGCACUGUGUCAUCUGGGUUCCGUGUCAUUGUGCCACCUGGGUUCCAUGUCAUAUAGGCACUGUGUCACCUGGGCACUGUGUCACCUGGGUUCUGUGUCACCUGGGUUCUGUGUCAUAUAGGCACUGUGUCACCUGGGUUCCGUGUCACCUGGGUUCUGUGUCACCGGGGUUCCGUGUCACCUGGGUUCCGUGUCGUAUAGGCACUGUGACGUGGGUUCCGUGUCACCUGGGUUCCGUGUCACCUGGGUUCCAUGUCAUAUAGGCACUGUGCCAUCUGGGUUCCAUGUCACCUGUGUUCCGUGUCACCUGUGUUCCGUGUCACAGUGUCACCCAGGCUCCGUGUCGUGCCGCACAGACUCUGUGUCACCUGCAUUCCAUGUCACCCGGGUUCUGUGUCACACAGGCAUUGCGUCCCCUGGGUUCCAUAGCACUCGGGUUCCGUGUCACCUGGGUUCCAUGUCGCGUGGGUUCCAUGACACAUAGGCAUUGUGUCACCCGGUCCCAUGUCACCAGGGCUCCAUGUCACCUGGGUUCUGUGUCACCUGGGUUCCGUGCCAUUUGGGUCUGUGUCACUCAGGUUCUGUGUCACCUUGGUUCCCUGUCACCUGGGUCCCACGCCACAGUGUCACCCAGGCUCCGUGUCACUGUGCCAUGCAGACCCCAUGUCACCUCGGUUCCAUGUCACCUGGACUCCACAUCACCCGGGCUCCAUGUCACUGUGUCACCCGGGCUCCACAUCACCUGGGCUCCAUGUCACCGUGUCACCUGGGCUCCAUGUCACCUGGCAGCUCCAUGUCACCGUGUCACCUGGGCUCCACAUCACCUGGGCUCCAUGUCACCGUGUCACCUGGGCUCCAUGUCACCGGGCAGCUCCAUGUCAUCGUGUCACCUGGGCUCCACAUCACCUGGGCUCCAUGUCACCGUGUCACCUGGGCUCCAUGUCACCUGGCAGCUCCAUGUCACUGUGUCACAUGGGCUCCACAUCACCUGGGCUCCAUGUCAUUGUGUCAUGUGGGCUCCACAUCACCUGGGCUUCAUGUCACAUGGGCAGCUCUAUGUCACCGUGUCACCCAGGCCCCACAUCACCUGGGCUCCAUGUCACUGUGUCACCUGGGCUCCACAUCACCUGGGCUCCGUGUCACUGUCUCAUGUGGGCUCCAUGUCACCGGGCAGCUCCAUGUCACCGUGUCACCUGGGCUCCAUGUCACCUGGGCUCCAUGACACUGUGUCACCUGGGUUCCAUGUCACUGAGUCAUGUGGGCUCCAUGUCACCUGGGCUCCAUGUCACCGUGUCACCGGGCAGCUCCAUGUCACCGUGUCACCUGGGCUCCAUGUCACCUGGUCUCCAUGUCACCGUGUCCCAUGGGCUCCACAUCAUCUGGGCCCCAUGUCACUGUGUCACUGGGCAGCUCCAUGUCACCGCAUCACCUGGGCUCCACAUCACCUGGGCUCCAUGUCACUGUGUCAUGUGAGCUCCACGUCACUGGGGCUCCAUGUCACCGUGUCACCUGGGCUCCACGUCACCUGUGCUCCAUGUCACCGUGUCACCGGGCAGCUCCACGUCCCCGUGUCACCUGGGCUCCACAUCACCUGGGCUCCACACCAGCCAGGCUCAGUGACACCACAACACCCGAGGGCUGCACAUCACCACCCGACUCACCCUCAGCCUUCAUCCCCACUGCCAUCUCCGUCCUCAUCCUCGUCCCCAUCGCCGUCCCCAGGCCCGGGGGUGACGUUCAGCCCCCCGUGGGGCUCGAAGCGCAGCCUCCAUCCCCGCGGCACCGAUCCGGGCAGGACGAGGCGGACGUUCACCUGCAGUGGGACCCCGGGGAGGGGUCUCAGACGGCACUCAGCCGGGAAGUAACGGCGCAGGACGGGCAGCACACGGGGCCCGGGGGGGGGCACACGGAGGGCAGCCAGGAGCCGGGCCGGGGGUCGGGGGGCGCGGGAGGCCUCCAGCAGCAGGGCGGCCAGGCGGGCGGGGGCGCUGGGCCCCCCCUGGAUGUAGUGCUCCAGCCCGUCCAGCAGCAGCAAGCCGGGGGGCCGGGCUCGGGCCGCCAUUGCCCCCAACUCCUGGGCCAGGGCUGCCAGGGUGGGGGGGUAGCGGAGCUCCAGGCGCUGCGGGAAAGGGGGGGAGGGGGUCGUCAGGCCACGCCCCCCGCGUGCCACACCCACCACAAGCCACGCCCUCCGCCACCAGGCCACGCCCACGCCCGUGCUUAGCCCCGCCCACACGCGGUCGAGCCACGCCCCCCUCAUGCAAAGCUCCGCCCACGCGCGGCAGCAAGCACGCCCAGAGCCACGCCCCCUAUCGCAUGCCACGCCCACUCGGUUAAGCCCCGCCCACUCGCGCCGCGCCGCUGUCGGUGCUAAGCCCCGCCCCUUCCGCCAGGCCACGCCCCUCGUUCGUAACCACGCCCCCGCGCUCAUAAGCCCCCCUCCCCCCCCCCGCGGCCUUCUCGCCACGCUCCCUACCGGGAGGCCACGCCCACCGCCCCCGGCCCCGCCCCUUCGGCUCAAAGCCCCGCCCCCUCGCGGCCCCCCCUCACCUGCAGCGCCCUCGGGUCACCGCCGCCGCCGUCUGGGAGUCGGGAGGGAGCGCUGGGCGCUAAGAAGAGAGCGCGGGGCCCGUCCCCUCCUCCCGCCAACGCCGCCCGCAGCAGCAGCGCCGUGCGGCCCGAGCCCGCCGGGCCGAGCACCAACAGCGGC